GAACAUGAAGGUGAUCUGGCUGUGACAUCUGUCAUCCCAUUGACCUCAGGGUUGAUUCAGCUGAUGUGGUUGGCCAAGCUGAUGUCUCCUUCCUCCCUCACUGCUCCAUGGGUGUCCCUCCCAAAGCUAGGUGCUCAGAGAGGACAACCUUCCCUUAUAAAGAAGGAUUCCUCUGUCAAGGGUAUAUGGGUAGCUGCAGUAGCUAUGCUUUCUUGCUAUAGCCUCCAAACAAGAAAGAAGCUAUUGGGGUUCAGCUUCCAAGAUGCCAGACACAUCCAAAUAGGUGAUAUAUGUGGCAGUGUGUCUUACUUU
rnacentral:snRNA from 1 species